GAUGAACGCUGGCGGCGUUCCUAAUACAUGCAAGUCGAGCGAACGGACGAGAAGCUUGCUUCUCUGAUGUUAGCGUCGGACGGGUGAGUAACACGUGGAUAACCUACCUAUAAGACUGGGAUAACUUCGUGAAACCGGAGCUAAUACCGGAUAAUAUUUUGAACCGCAUGGUUCAAAAGUUAAAGACGGUCUUGCUGUCACUUAUAGAUGGAUCCGCGCUGCAUUAGCUAGUUGGUAAGGUAACGGCUUACCAAGGCAACGAUGCAUAGCCGACCUGAGAGGGUGAUCGGCAACACUGGAACUGAGACAAGGUCCAGACUCAGACGGGAGGCAGCAGUAGGGAAUCUUCCGCAAUGGGCGAAAGCCUGAAGGAGCAACGCCGCGUGAGUGAUGAAGGUCUUCGGAUCGUAAAACUCUGUUAUUAGGGAAGAACAUAUGUGUAAGUAACUGUGCACAGCUUGACGGUACCUAAUCAGAAAGCCACGGAUAACUACGUG
rnacentral:rRNA from 1 species